rnacentral:rRNA from 1 species
CUGGAUUCGCUAGUAAUCGCGCAUCAGCCACGGCGCGGUGAAUACGUUCCCGGGCCUUGUACACACCGCCCGUCACACCAUGAGAGUUGGGGAUACCCGAAGCCUGUGAGCCAACAGUAAUGAGGCAGCAGUCGAAGGUAGAAUCAAUGAUUGGGGUGAAGUCGUAACAAGGUACC